AGCGAACGCUGGCGGCAGGCCUAACACAUGCAAGUCGAACGAACUCUUCGGAGUUAGUGGCGGACGGGUGAGUAACACGUGGGAACGUGCCUUUAGGUUCGGAAUAACUCAGGGAAACUUGUGCUAAUACCGAAUGUGCCCUUCGGGGGAAAGAUUUAUCGCCUUUAGAGCGGCCCGCGUCUGAUUAGCUAGUUGGUGAGGUAAAGGCUCACCAAGGCGACGAUCAGUAGCUGGUCUGAGAGGAUGAUCAGCCACAUUGGGACUGAGACACGGCCCAAACUCCUACGGGGAGCAGCAGUGGGGAAUCUUGCGCAAUGGGCGAAAGCCUGACGCAGCCAUGCCGCGUGAAUGAUGAAGGUCUUAGGAUUGUAAAAUUCUUUCACCGGGGACGAUAAUGACGGUACCCGGAGAAGAAGCCCCGGCUAACUUCGUG
rnacentral:rRNA from 1 species